ensembl:lncRNA
UCAUGGACAAAGUUGUUUUUAUUUUUUAAAGUCACCAUGUAAUAAAAAGGCUACAAAACCCAGAAUAAAUAUCUUCAAGUUACAAAAGCAAAACAGGUCUAGAAAAGCUGCGAACUGUGAAAAGGCAACAGCUGUUGGCAAACACCAGACCCAGAAAUGAAUGCAUGCUUGUUUGUUUGCUUGGGUGGGGAUGGGGUGGGGUGGGGGAGCCCGAGGAGGGAGAGUUGGGCCCCUCUUCCCCCUCCAUCCCUCCAAAGGCCUGUCCGCUGGGGUCCCACCACAUCAGCCCGUGCCUUUUGCCCAGUGCUCUGUCCUCGCUCACAGUGCUACCCAGGUCUGUGUGCCCCCUUCUGAGCCUCUGUUAAUUUACAUAGAUGGGAUGCCAAGCUGGUGCAUAAAAAGAGGCCUAGCUUUAGAGACAAAUCUGGGCUUAUACCCCGGUACCCCUCUGCUUCCCGGCCGUGUGAGCUUGGCAGGCACCCACCCCAUCUCUGGUUCCCAGUUUCUUCCUAGGGUGGGGGGCGACAGGGUGUCCUGUGCAGGAGGAGGACUGGGUAAGAGGGUGGAUGGACCAGGUGGCCCGCCACUGCAAACUGAAGGGGCCAGCCCUGGGGUGAUGUCCCCCUGCAGGCUGAUGUGGGGGGACUGCCAAGCCUGAGCCAGAGCAAGUUGAGGGCAACUGGGAGAAACAGAGGCACAGCCCCGUGAUCACCUGGGACACAUCUGGCUGCAUCUGUCAUGCUGCGGCUGGUGGCUCAAGGGGUGGGUACAAGAGCUAGGAACGUUCUCAACAAAGGCUGUCUUCAGGAGGUGAGUCCUAACGGCAGGACUGGGAGGGCCCCUGGUGAUCCCCAAACUGACGGCCAUCUCUCUAGAGAAAGCAAGGACUUCAACCGAGGAGUCUUGGCAGCGGACCCUGGGCUCAUGCUUCUAGCCUCGACCUCCUCAUCUACCCAAUGGGUAGAAGAGGCCUGGAGUUCCCAUUGUGGCUCAGCAGAAAUGAAUCUGACUAGUAACCAUGAGGAUGCAGGUUCGAUCCCUGGCCUCAUUCAGUGGGUUAAGGAUCCAGCAUUCCCAUGAGCUGUGGUGUAGAUCGCAGACACGGCUCAGAUCCUGUGUUGCUGUGGCCUCUAGCGUAGCCUGGCAGCUAUAGCUCCGAUUCUCAGACCCCCGAGCCUGAGAACCUCCCUUGGCUGUGGGUGCAGCCAGGAAAAAAAAAAAAAAAAGAGGCCCUGCCUUUGCCCCAGGGCUGCUCUGAAACCCUGUGAGAAUGUAACUGGAGAAGCCCUUUGGACAUUUUGAAACAUUGACCACAUCUGGGGAAGUGUCACCCCCUGUCAGUACCCCCUGCACCCCUAGAGGCAUGGAAAAUUGAUCCUCCACUAACCAGGGAGCCCAACAGAGCCUCCCCAAGGUGGACAGGAGAUGAGGGGCCAUCUCCACCUUUCACUGCCCCAACCCAUAUUUGGCCCCUUCUAGCCCUCGAGUGCCUGCCUGCCUUCCCAUGGAGGGCUGACCACCCCCUUCACGGAUGCCUGGGGAUCCGCUGACCGCCUGACCUGAAGCAGGAGCUCAAUAGAAGGUAACUCCGCCCACAGCAUCGGCCCCAGGAGUGGCUGGCAGGAAGCAGAGCACAGCCUGACCUGCCUUAAU